rnacentral:rRNA from 1 species
AACGAACGCUGGCGGCAGGCUUAACACAUGCAAGUCGAACGCCCCGCAAGGGGAGUGGCGCACGGGUGAGUAACGCGUGGGAAUAUGCCCUUCGGUUCGGAAUAAUACAGGGAAACUUGUGCUAAUACCGGAUACGAUCUACGGAUGAAAGAUUCAUCGCCGAAGGAGUAGCCCGCGUAGGAUUAGCUAGUUGGUGAGGUAAUGGCUCACCAAGGCGACGAUCCUUAGCCGGUCUGAGAGGAUGACCAGCCACACUGGGACUGAGACACGGCCCAGACUCCUACGGGAGGCAGCAGUGGGGAAUAUUGGACAAUGGGGGAAACCCUGAUCCAGCCAUGCCGCGUGAGUGAUGAAGGCCUUAGGGUUGUAAAGCUCUUUCGCCAGGGAAGAUAAUGACGGUACCUGGAAAAGAAGCCUCGGCUAACUCCGUGCCAGCCGCCGCAGUAAUAC